AUGUCCACCUAUGGUGGCACACAAUAUGACAUCGAUACUUUAGUUUGGAAGGAUCAAGCGGGGGGAAAUUGGUGGCUGCAAGUGGGAGGCAAUUAUGUGGGGUAUUGGCCAUCAUCCAUCUUCUCCUACUUGGCAGAUAGUGCCUCUACCAUCAUGUGGGGUGGCGAGGUAUUUUCACCCGAUGCCGGCCAAACUUCCACACAUAUGGGCAGUGGACACUUCCCGAAUGAAGGGUUUGCUAAGGCGAGUCACAUCAAGAACAUUCAAGUGGUAGACUCCUCCAACUUUCUCAAUCCCCCAAGUGAUGUGGGCUUGAUAACUGAGCAGAACAACUGUUAUAAUGUGCAAAGUGACACCUAUGGCGACUGGGGCACUUACAUCUACUAUGGUGGCCCUGGCAAUAACCAUAACUGUCCAUGA
rnacentral:rRNA from 1 species